rnacentral:rRNA from 1 species
AACGAACGCUGGCGGCAUGCCUAACACAUGCAAGUCGAACGAGACCUUCGGGUCUAGUGGCGCACGGGUGCGUAACGCGUGGGAACCUGCCCUUAGGUUCGGAAUAACUCCCCGAAAGGGGUGCUAAUACCGGAUAAUGUCUUCGGACCAAAGAUUUAUCGCCUUUGGAUGGGCCCGCGUUGUAUUAGCUAGUUGGUAGGGUAAAAGCCUACCAAGGCGACGAUCCAUAGCUGGUCUGAGAGGAUGAUCAGCCACACUGGGACUGAGACACGGCCCAGACUCCUACGGGAGGCAGCAGUGGGGAAUAUUGGACAACGGGCGAAAGCCUGAUCCAGCAAGGCCGCGUGAGUGAUGAAGGCCUUAGGGUUGUAAAGCUCUUUUACCCGCGAUGAUAAUGACAGUACCGGGAGAAUAAGCACCGGCUAACUCCGUG